UUUUAUUUGAGAGUUUGAUCCUGGCUCAGGAUGAACGCUGGCGGCGUGCCUAACACAUGCAAGUUGAGCGAUUUACUUCGGUAAAGAGCGGCGGACGGGUGAGUAACGCGUGGGUAACCUACCCUGUACACACGGAUAACAUAUCGAAAGGUAUGCUAAUACGGGAUAAUAUAUUUGAGAGGCAUCUCUUGAGUAUCAAAGGUGAGCCAGUACAGGAUGGACCCGCGUCUGAUUAGCUAGUUGGUAAGGUAACGGCUUACCAAGGCGACGAUCAGUAGCCGACCUGAGAGGGUGAUCGGCCACAUUGGAACUGAGACAAGGUCCAAACUCCUACGGGAGGCAGCAGUGGGGAAUAUUGCACAAUGGGCGAAAGCCUGAUGCAGCAUCGCCGCGUGAGUG
rnacentral:rRNA from 1 species